UGUUGGUGUCGAAGCUUCAGUGGCAAUGAUGAUGGGAGAGAAAUAUCGGAGAGGUGGCUAUGCUUGUGGUAGUCGGCUCUUCUUUGCGUGUUCAUAGGAUUGUCUCGGCUGGUUCAUUGUUGCGAAGUCAAAGCUACGGUGGUGGGCCUCGGUGGUGUACGAUGACGGGCAACAUGUGGUUCAUUCGAUGAUCUUCUAUGGUGC
rnacentral:lncRNA from 1 species